AGCGAACGCUGGCGGCAGGCUUAACACAUGCAAGUCGAACGGGCAUCUUCGGAUGUCAGUGGCAGACGGGUGAGUAACACGUGGGAACGUACCCUUCGGUUCGGAAUAACUCAGGGAAACUUGAGCUAAUACCGGAUACGCCCUUUUGGGGUAAGGUUUACUGCCGAAGGAUCGGCCCGCGUCUGAUUAGCUUGUUGGUGGGGUAACGGCCUACCAAGGCGACGAUCAGUAGCUGGUCUGAGAGGAUGAUCAGCCACACUGGGACUGAGACACGGCCCAGACUCCUACGGGAGGCAGCAGUGGGGAAUAUUGGACAAUGGGCGCAAGCCUGAUCCAGCCAUGCCGCGUGAGUGAUGAAGGCGUUAGGGUUGGAAAGCUCUUUUGUCCGGGACGAUAAUGACGGUACCGGAAGAAUAAGCCCCGGCUAACUUCGUG
rnacentral:rRNA from 1 species